CCUUCGAUAGCUCAGUUGGAAGAGCGUGGGACUGUAAUUUGAUGACAAAAGCUAUCUAUCCCGAGGCCAUCGGUUCGAUCCCGAUUCGAAGGA
rfam:Hebeloma cylindrosporum h7 unplaced genomic scaffold scaffold_16, whole genome shotgun sequence.